GGAGAGCGGAAGUUUUUUUUAGAGGCGAUUUGUGCGGUUGUGGUUGGGGGUAGGAGCGUGGGGUUGGUUGUGGGUUGUAGGGGAAGAGUUGUAGUUUGUUGUAGUGUAAAGUAAUUGGUUAUAGGUUUUGUAGUUUCUGAGAUAUAAGGCGUUAAAUUUAGCACAAUUUUUUUUACUAAUUUGUGUAUUUGGGGGCGAAAGUUUUUUUUAGUGGUGAUUUGUGCGGUUGUGGUUGGUGGUAGGAGCGUGGGGUUGGUUGUGGGUUGUAGUGGAAGAGUUGUAGUUUGUUGUAGUGUAAAGUAAUUGGUUGUAGGUUUUGUAGUUUCCGAGAUAUAAGGCGUUAAAGUUAGCACAAUUUUUUUUACUAAUUUGUACAUGUGGGGGUGAAAGUUUUUUUUAGAGGCAAUUUGUGCGGUUGUGGUUGGUGGUAGGAGCGUGGGGGUGGUUGUGGGUUGUAGUGGAAGAGUUGUAGUUUGUUGUAGUGUAAAGUAAUUGGUUGUAGGUUUUGUAGUUUCUGAGAUAUAAAGCGUUAAAGUUAGCACAAUUUUUUUUCCCUAAUUUGUUCAUGUGGGGUCGAAAGUUUUUUUUAGAGGUAAUUUGUGCGGUUGUGGUUGGUGGUAGGAGCGUGGGGGUGGUUGUGGGUUGUAGUGGAAGAGUUGUAGUUUGUUGUAGUGUAAAGUAAUUGGUUGUAGGUUUUGGAGUUUCUGAGAUAUAAGGCGUUAAAGUUAGCACAAUUUUUUUUACUAAUUUGUACAUGUGGGGGUGAAAGUUUUUUUUAGAGGCGAUUUGUGCGGUUGCGGUUGGUGGUAGGAGCGUGGGGUUGGUUGUGGGUUGUAGGGGAAGAGUUGUAGUUUGUUGUAGUGUAAAGUAAUUGGUUGUAGGUUUUGUAGUUUCUGAGAUAUAAGGCGUUAAAGUUAGCACAAUUUUUUUUUACUAAUUUGUUGAUGUGGGGGUGAAAGUUUUUUUUAGAGGCGAUUUGUGCAGUUGUGGUUGGUGGUAGGAGCGUGGGGGUGGUUGUGGGUUGUAGUGGAAGAGUUGUAGUUUGUUGUAGUGUAAAGUAAUUGGUUGUAGGUUUUGUAGUUUCUGAGAUAUAAGGCGUUAAAUUUAGCACAAUUUUUUUUUACUAAUUUGUUCAUGUGGGGGUGAAAGUUUUUUUUAGUGGUGAUUUGUGCGGUUGUGGUUGGUGGUAGGAGCGUGGGGGUGGUUGUGGGUUGUAGGGGAAGAGUUGUAGUUUGUUGUAGUGUAAAGUAAUUAGUUGUAGGUUUUGUAGUUUCUGAGAUAUAAGGCGUUAAAUUUAGCACAAUUUUUUUUACUAAUUUGUACAUGUGGGGGCGAAAGUUUUUUUAGUGGUAAUUUGUGUGGUUGUGGUUGGUGGUAGGAGCGUGGGGGUGGUUGUGGGUUGUAGGGGAAGAGUUGUAGUUUGUUGUAGUGUAAAGUAAUUGGUUAUAGGUUUUGUAGUUUCUGAGAUAUAAAGCGUUAAAAUUAGCACAAUUUUUUUUUUCCUAAUUUGUUCAUGUGGGGUCGAAAGUUUUUUUUAGUGGUGAUUUGUGCGGUUGUGGUUGGUGGUAGGAGCGUGGGGUUGGUUGUGGGUUGUAGGGGAAGAGUUGUAGUUUGUUGUAGUGUAAAGUAAUUGGUUGUAGGUUUUGUAGUUUCUGAGAUAUAAGGCGUUAAAUUUAGCACAAUUUUUUUUACUAAUUUGUACAUGUGGGGGUGAAAGUUUUUUUUAGAGGCGAUUUGUGCGGUUGUGGUUGGUGGUAGGAGCAUGGGGGUGGUUGUGGGUUGUAGUGGAAGAUUUGUAGUUUCUUGUGGUGUAAACAGAUCCAUGACAGCUUUUGUAGUUUCUGAGAUAUAGGGCGUUAAAAUUAUCACAAGAUUUUUUUAACAUGUUCCUGGUGGGGGGGCAAAAGUUUUAUUUAACGGUUAUUUGUAGAUUAUAGUGAAAGAGUUGUAGUUUCUUGUAGUGUAAACUGAUCCAUGAUAGCUAUUGUAGUUUUGGAGAUAUAAGCCAUUGAAUGUAGGAUAAUUUUUCAGAUUUAAAAAAAAUUUUUUAUUGUAAUUCUGGAAAGUUUUUUUUUAAAUGUGAUUUGUGUGGUUAUCCAUAGUAUUAGAAGCAUGGGGAUGGUUGUAGAUUAUAGUGAAAGAGUUGUAGUUUCUUGUGGUGUAAACAGAUCCAUGAUAGCUAUUGUAGUUUUGGAGAUAUAAGCCAUUGAAUGUAGGGUAAUUUUUUCAGAUUUUUAAAUUUUUUUUAAUGUAAUUCUGGAAAGUUUUUUUAAAUGUGAUUUGUGCGGUUAUUGAUAGCACUAGAAGCAUGGGGAUGGUUGUAGAUUGUAGUGAAAGAGUUGUAGUUUCUUGUGGUGUAAACAGAUCCAUGAUAGCUAUUGUAGUUUUGGAGAUAUAAGCCAUUGAAUGUAGGGUAAUUUUUUCAGAUUUUUUUUUUUUUAUUGUAAUUCUGGAAAGUUUUUUUUAAAUGUGAUUUGUGCGGUUAUUGAUAGCACUAGAAGCAUGGGGAUGAUUGUAGAUUGUAGUGAAAGAGUUGUAGUUUCUUGUAGUGUAAACAGAUCUAUGAUAGCUAUUGUAGUUUUGGAGAUAUAAGCCAUUGAAUGUAGGGUAAUUUUUUCAGAUUUUUUUUGUAAUUCUGGAAAGUUUUGUAUAAAUGUGAUUUGUGUGGUUAUUGAUAGCAUUAGAAGCAUCGGGAUGGUUGUAGAUUGUAGUGAAAGAGUUGUAGUUUCUUGUAGUGUAAACUGAUCCAUGAUAGCUAUUGUAGUUUUGGAGAUAUAAGCCAUUGAAUGUAGGAUAAUUUUUCAGAUUUAAAAAAAAAUUUUUAUUGUAAUUCUGGAAAGUUUUUUUUUAAAUGUGAUUUGUGUGGUUAUCCAUAGUAUUAGAAGCAUGGGGAUGGUUGUAGAUUAUAGUGAACGAGUUGUAGUUUCUUGUAGUGUAAACAGAUCUAUGAUAGCUAUUGUAGUUUUGGAGAUAUAAGCCAUUGAAUGUAGGGUAAUUUUUUCAGAUUUUUUUUGUAAUUCUGGAAAGUUUUUUAUAAAUGUGAUUUGUGUGGUUAUUGAUAGCAUUAGAAGCAUCGGGAUGGUUGUAGAUUAUAGUGAAAGAGUUGUAGUUUCUUGUAGUGUAAACAGAUCCAUGAUAGCUAUUGUAGUUUUGGAGAUAUAAGCCAUUGAAUGUAGGGUAAUUUUUUCAGAUUUUUAAUUUUUUUUUUAUUGUAAUUCUGGAAUGUUUUUUUAAAAUGUGAUUUGUGCGGUUAUUGAUAGCACUAGAAGCAUGGGGAUGAUUGUAGAUUGUAGUGAAAGAGUUGUAGUUUCUUGUAGUGUAAACAGAUCCAUGAUAGCUGUUGUAGUUUUGGAGAUAUAAGCCAUUGAAUGUAGGGUAAUUUUUUCAGAUUUUUUUUUGUAAUUGUGGAAAGUUUUUUUAUAAUGUGAUUUGUGUGGUUAUCCAUAGUAUUAGAAGCAUGGGGAUGGUUGUAGAUUAUAGUGAAAGAGUUGUAGUUUCUUGUAGUGUAAACAGAUCCAUGAUAGCUAUUGUAGUUUCCGAGAUAUAGGGCGGCAAACUCCCCCCUCUCGUCUCCUACCUCCUCUGCCUUGUGCUGUUGUUGAAGCAUGUAUUCUCGGACCAUAGAGGGCGAGA